rnacentral:tRNA from 1 species
GCCCGUGUAGCUCAAUUGGCAGAGCAACUCUUUUGUAAAGAGUAGGUUGUCGGUUCGAGUCCGACCAUGGGCU